GAUGAACGCUAGCGGCAGGCCUAAUACAUGCAAGUCGAACGGUGUAGCAAUACACAGUGGCGCACGGGUGCGUAACACGUAUGCAACCUACCUUACAUUGGGGGAUAGCCUUGCGAAAGGGAGAUUAAUACCGCAUAAGACAGUAACUAGGCAUCUAGUAGCUGUUAAAGAUUUAUCGAUGUAAGCUGGGCAUGCGUCCAAUUAGUUAGUUGGUGAGGUAACGGCUCACCAAGACGACGAUUGGCAGGGGAACUGAGAGGUCAAUCCCCCACACUGGCACUGAGAUACGGGCCAGACUCCUACGGGAGGCAGCAGUAGGGAAUAUUGGGCAAUGGGCGCAAGCCUGACCCAGCCAUGCCGCGUGCAGGAAGAAGGCGUUAUGCGUUGUAAACUGCUUUUAUACAGGAAGAAACGACCCUUGCGAGGGGCAUUGACGGUACUGUAUGAAUAAGCACCGGCUAACUCCGUGCCAGCAGCCGCGGUAACAC
rnacentral:rRNA from 1 species